rnacentral:tRNA from 1 species
UAGAAUUGGGUGUGAUAGGUAGCACAAAGAUUUUUGAGUUCUUAGGGUUAGGUUCAAUUCCUAUAAUUCUAG